GCCAGAUAAGGGAAGCAGGCCUCCGAAGCCAGCAGUGGCAACCCACUUGGGUCCCUUUCAAUGCUGUGGAAGCGUUGUUCUUUCACUCUUCUCAAUAAAUCUUGCUGCUGCUCACUCUUUGGGUCUGCCCCGCUGUUAUGAGCUGUAACACUCACAGCCAGUGUCUGCAGUUUCACUCCUGAAGCCAGCAAGACCACAAACCCACAGGGCGGGACAAACAACUCCGGACAGGAGGAAUGAACAACUCUGGACGCGCCACUUCUAUGAACUUUUAUGAACUGUAACACUCACCGCAAAGGUCUGCAGCUUCACCCCUGAGGCCAGGGAGACCACGAACCCACCGGAAGGAAUGAACAACUCCAGACGCACUGCCUUUAAGAGCUGUAACACUUACCACGGAUGUCUGCAGCUUCACUCCUGAAGUCAGCGAGACCACAAACCCAACAGAAGGAAGAAACUCCCGACACAUCUGAACAUCUGAAGGAACAAACUCUGGACACACCAUCUUUAAGAACUGUAACACUCACCGUGAGGGUCAACCGCUUCAUUCUUGAAGUCAGCCAGACCAAGAACCCACCAAUUCCGAGUCUCACUUUGUUGCCUAAGCUAGAGUGCAGCGUCGUGAUCAAGGCUCACUGCAGCCUCAACAUCCUGAUCCCCAGUGUUCCUCCCACCUCAACCUCCCAAGUAGCUGGGACCACAGAUGAAUGCCAGAUGCCUCUAGUGAGCCACCUUGAAUCACUAUUCUGAAUACAUCUUGAGUAAAAAGAGAAAAUUGCUCAUGUUUCCAUGUCUAUCUGAAUCAUGUUAUUGGACCAUGAGAGCAAGCAGCUGGAUCUCAUUCUGUCCAGGUACAAAUAUACUAAAUUAACAUAAGUAGCAUAUCAUAUGUGUCAUAUGUGUGCUGAAUAUGUUAUAUUUAAUAACUAAAAAACCUUAAAACCUUACUUUUUUGGUACUUUUAAAUACCAAGAAUUAAUUAAUUAAUUAAUUAAUUUAGCUUGUGUCCAUUUCCUCUUACAAGUAUAUAGGAAACUUUUUACUCUCUGAAUCUUUAUAAAAUUGCAAGUCUUGGUGAACAGUAAUUGUCUUCUUGGAUAAUAUUUAUGCAAAGAGUGUUUGGAGACAUCUAUAUUCUGGAUAAAACUAAUUAUUUAAUACAGUACUUUUUUUAAAGGACAUGCUAUUUUAACUUCACUUCAGCAAAGUUUAUCUGUAGGCACUUAUAUAUGCACUUAAAACAAAAUUUAAAUAAAUGAGCAUGAUUUUUUUCCUUACUUUAAGUGGACUGGCAUCUUUCCCAUAUGUUUUGCAUGUAACAACAUUCCCAAAAAGUUAAGUGCAUCUAGGAUACACCUUAUUUAAUAACCUUAGCACCAGCUGCUCAUAUUCACUGCCAGAAAUCAUGCUUUUUUGUACACAGCCUAAAGGCAAAAAAAAAUAAAAAGUGAUUUAGAAGCUGCUACUAGGCUGAAAGGUAAAUCAGUGUUCCACAUAAUUCAAAACUUACUUUUUAUAAAAAAGCAAAUAAAAGCACAAAAGUAAUUUUAGCUGAAUAUUUAAAAAGUAAUUCUAUAUGGUAUGACACUUACUACAACAGAAACUUUUGCUUACUUUCAUAGGACUCCUGGAAACAGCAGCUCUAACAAAAUUGUCUUCAAUAAAUAAGUUUUUUUGCAUCACAUUUGUGUAUGUCCUGAAUGUUCUGAGCCCUUCAGAUUUGACUCAUAUUCAUGCUAAAAGAAAAAAUGCAAAUGAAAAUUGUAUAGCUAAUUAUGAGAAAAAUAAAGCAUCAUAAGAAAACCA
rnacentral:lncRNA from 1 species